AUUGAACGCUGGCGGCAGGCCUAACACAUGCAAGUCGAGCGGCAGCGGAAGGAAGCUUGCUUCCUAGCCGGCGAGCGGCGGACGGGUGAGUAAGGUAUGGGGAUCUGGCCGAAGGCGGGGGAUAACCACUGGAAACGGUGGCUAAUACCGCAUAAUCUCUAAGGAGCAAAGUGGGGGACCGUUCAGGCCUCACACCUUCGGAUGAACCCAUACGAAAUUAGCUAGUAGGUGGGGUAAUGGCUCACCUAGGCGACGAUCUCUAGCUGGUCUGAGAGGAUGAUCAGCCACACUGGGACUGAGACACGGCCCAGACUCCUACGGGAGGCAGCAGUGGGGAAUAUUGCACAAUGGGCGCAAGCCUGAUGCAGCCAUGCCGCGUGUAUGAAGAAGGCCUUCGGGUUGUAAAGUACUUUCAGUCGUGAGGAAGGUGUUAAGGUUAAUAACCUUAGCAAUUGACGUUAGCGACAGAAGAAGCACCGGCUAACUCCGUGCCAGCCGCCGCGGUAA
rnacentral:rRNA from 1 species